CGCGUAGGCGGCCCGGCAAGUCAGUGGUGAAAGCCCGAGGCUCAACUUCGGGUCGGCCACUGAUACUGCUAGGCUUGAGUCGACUAGAGGCAGAUGGAAUUCCGGGUGUAGCGGUGGAAUGCGUAGAGAUCCGGAAGAACACCGGUGGCGAAGGCGGUCUGCUGGGGUCGAACUGACGCUGAGGCGCGACAGCGUGGGGAGCAAACA
rnacentral:rRNA from 1 species